rnacentral:rRNA from 1 species
GACGAACGCUGGCGGCGUGCUUAACACAUGCAAGUCGAACGGAAAGGCCCCCUUGUGGGGUACUCGAGUGGCGAACGGGUGAGUAACACGUGAGUAACCUACCCUUGACUUUGGGAUAACUUCAGGAAACUGGGGCUAAUACCGGAUAGGAGCUCCUGCUGCAUGGUGGGGGUUGGAAAGUUUCGGCGGUUGGGGAUGGACUCGCGGCUUAUCAGCUUGUUGGUGGGGUAGUGGCUCACCAAGGCUUUGACGGGUAGCUGGCCUGAGAGGGUGACCGGCCACAUUGGGACUGAGAUACGGCCCAGACUCCUACGGGAGGCAGCAGUGGGGAAUAUUGCACAAUGGGCGGAAGCCUGAUGCAGCAACGCCGCGUGCGGGAUGACGGCCUUCGGGUUGUAAACCGCUUUCGCCUGUGACGAAGCGUGAGUGACGGUAAUGGGUAAAGAAGCACCGGCUAACUACGU